rnacentral:misc_RNA from 1 species
GAAAUGCGAUAAGUAAUGUGAAUUGCAGAAUUCAGUGAAUCAUCGAAUCAUUGAACGCACAUUGCGCCCGCCAGUAUUCUGGCGGGCAUGCCUGUCCGAGCGUCAUUUCAACCAUCAAGCCCCCGGGCUUGUGUUGGGGACCUGCGGCUGCCCGCAGGCCCUGAAAACCAGUGGCGGGCUCGCUGUCACACCGAGCGUAGUAGCAAUAACCUCGCUCAGGGCGUGCUGCGGGUUCCGGCCGUUAAACAGCCUUACAAAACCCAAGGUUGACCUCGGAUCAGGUAGGAAGACCCGCUGAACUUAAGC